rnacentral:rRNA from 1 species
GAUGAACGCUCGCUACAGGCUUAACACAUGCAAGUCGAGGGGAAACGGCAUCGAAAGCUUGCUUUUGAUGGGCGUCGACCGGCGCACGGGUGAGUAACGCGUAUCCAACCUGCCCAUCACUUGGGAAUAACCUUGCGAAAGUAAGACUAAUGCCCAAUGACAUCCCACGAAGGCAUCCGAAUGGGAUUAAAGAUUUAUCGGUGAUGGAUGGGGAUGCGUCUGAUUAGCUUGUUGGCGGGGUGACGGCCCACCAAGGCAACGAUCAGUAGGGGUUCUGAGAGGAAGGUCCCCCACAUUGGAACUGGGACACGGUCCAAACUCCUACGGGAGGCAGCAGUGAGGAAUAUUGGGCAAUGGGCGAGAGCCUGAACCAGCCAAGUAGCGUGCAGGAGGACGGCCCUAUGGGUUGUAAACUGCUUUUAGAAGGGAAUAAAGUGGGUCACGUGUGACUUUUUGCAUGUACCUUAUGAAUAAGGACCGGCUAAUUCCGUG